ACGCACGCUGGCGGCGUGCUUCACCCAUGCCAGUCGCACGGAAAGGCCCUGCUUUUGUGGGGUGCUCGAGUGGCGAACGGGUGAGUAACACGUGAGUAACCUGCCCUUGACUUUGGGAUAACUUCAGGAAACUGGGGCUAAUACCGGAUAGGAGCUCCUGCUGCAUGGUGGGGGUUGGAAAGUUUCGGCGGUUGGGGAUGGACUCGCGGCUUAUCAGCUUGUUGGUGGGGUAGUGGCUUACCAAGGCUUUGACGGGUAGCCGGCCUGAGAGGGUGACCGGCCACAUUGGGACUGAGAUACGGCCCAGACUCCUACGGGAGGCAGCAGUGGGGAAUAUUGCACAAUGGGCGGAAGCCUGAUGCAGCAACGCCGCGUGCGGGAUGACGGCCUUCGGGCUGUAAACCGCUUUCGCCUGUGACGAAGCGUGAGUGACGGUAAUGGGUAAAGAAGCACCGGCUAACUACGUG
rnacentral:rRNA from 1 species